UUGCAGACGAAACUCAACUGCUAUACUUGUACCUACAUAUCACCUGACUGCAAGAUUCAAUUACAAUCAUCCUUUAUCCUGACAAAGACAUCUUCAUAAAUUUCACCAAUCUGCAAGUUAAAGAGUCAAAGAUUUGUCCCAGACGUUGAUGGAUGUGGGGAUCAGUUGGGACUAAACCAAGCAGCUGUAAAUACCUACAAAGAAAUUAGACUAAUGGACUCUGAAGUCAAGAUGAUCCUGGAGGGAAGAUGUGAUGAGGAGGGUUAUGUUUAAGGGAGUCGGGCACCUGCACCACACGUCACCACGGCUUGUUUAUGUCUAACUUUACCUCGUAAGGAAUGUGUCCUCCAAGGAGUCUCUUACCAUAUGAGGAUGGAAUACUCCAGUGGGCGAACGCGUUCACCCCAUAAGGUGGCGCCAUCAAGCGGCCGCUAAGUAUAAACACAUUAAACCCAUUGUGGCUUAUUCAAUAAAAAAACCAAUU